UAAAAUAUCCAUAAAAAAUGCAAGAGUAAUGCACUAGUUAUGGAUUUAUCCUUAAGGUAUAUUUUGAAUAUAAUAAUAGUUAAAGUGUAUAUUAUAUUCUUCAUACCAACAAUUAACAAUAUAAUUGAGGUGUACAUCCAAAUAUGAGAUUUCUCCAUGGUGGGAUAAGAUAUAAUAGUAGAACUCAAGUCAAGCACGAAAUUUCAUUCCAUAAUAAUUUAUAAAUAACAGGGAGUACAAUGCAGUGCACCUGAGCCACAUUUGAUCACGCAACUUUUCUAAUUUCUACUAGUCAAAAGCUUCCAAGCUUCUUGGCUGCUCCCUCAGUUGUUGAAAUUGAAUAUUUGAAUACGAUCAUCAGUUCUUGAAAUUCACAUAUACUAACUAGGUGAACAAAAGUAAUUCUGAAAUAAUUCUUUUCCAACAUGAUUAGAACCAAGAGAAUGUUUUGUUUCGGUUAAUCUACUCUUACAUCCUUCUUCUAGAAAUAAACUUCUUCUUUUGCUCCUCUCACACCUCUCCUUGUCUUGCAAACUCUGAAUUUAGAUGAUACCUACAAAAGACACUCUGACUCUUAAAUAAGCUCCGAAUAAGCUUUAGGUGUUCGAUAUUAAUACUGAAUGAUAACAUACUUAAUUCUUGAAAUUUGUAUUUAUUUAUAUAAUUAUCGUAAAUCCUUUGUUAUUGGACUAGUUUAAGGAUUUGAAUAGUAAUUAAGAACGUAUUACCUAAUCAUUGAUUAUCCCUUUUGGAUACUAUGGUUUCGGUCACAUCUCAUUAAUCCCUUUUGGAUACUAUAGUUUCGGUGAUAUCGGUCGACUGAGUCCCAGGUCGGGUCCAGGCGGUACAUUAGUUGUUCAUAAUUGAUUCAAUCUAAUGACACUUCAUUUCCAGAUAAAGCAAUCUCAUUAUAAAGCUUGCAGUGUACAACACAACAUACCCGCAAGAAUUUUCAUAGUGCAAGGCUGAGUUUUCAUCACAGCCAUCUUAUUGACAAACAAGGAACAAAAAGACAGCUCCUAUAUACUAUUAAUGGUAACUCAUUAUAAAGGGUCAUAAAUCACAAUAAUAACAACUAGCAUGCUGCUGCAUGGAUACGGCUGCUGAUAUCUUUGCUAGCAGAGGUUUCUUUGGAACAAUGUUCAUGCAACGUUUCUUCUUCCUUUUUCUCUUCAUGAUCACCCUUCACAUCCAAAAAACUGGGUUGAUUUGUAGAAGAUAAAAGCCUAGCCCACAUUCUAUCAGUUAUCACUACGUGGUUCUGUCUCUCAGUGAUUCUCUGCAUAACAAGGCAAAAAAAACAUGAAAUGUUAUUAGAAAUAGGUUUAUUGAAUGUUGAUAAAAAUAUCUUACUUAUUCUUUGGAACCAACAAAUAUCAUGCAUGAUGAACUUACGUAGAAGGGUAUGUAAGUUUGUCUUCCAUUGACAAGUCCACUUGUAUAGCCAGUGUAACCUGCCAUUGCUCCAUGAACAGCACUUUGAGCAAGAAGUGUACAAUACACGUUGUCAGAGGCAUUGCUUGGAACAGCACGGAUCAUGUAAGUUGGAUCUGUAAAACAGAAAAGCGAAGCGCUUUUUCAGCCAUUGCACUUUUCAGUGUGUGCACAGAUGAAAUCCACGGAGUUUAAUCUCUUUUACAAACCUAUGUAUUUGAGUGUUAUGGGUAGCGUCUUCUGUUCAGCAAAAUGAUCCUGCGAGGUCAAAAUGCUUAAAGUAAGCAACAGAAAAUAUCAUCAUGAACGUUUAUCAGUUGAGAAAAAAAUCGUAAAUAGUAAUAUAAAGCAUAUUCUGUACGAUCUAGCUUCUACCACUUGAACAACAUUGUGCUAGGAGUCCUACAACAUGUAAACUAGUGAUGGCAGUGAUAGUAGGGUGAUGCUAGACAUAUCAGUCAAUGAUCAUAGCAUAAGUGUAGGGUGAUGGGCCUGAACCCGAUUAUGUAAUAAGUGGAUCGGUUUCCGAAUUAUAAUACAAGACAAGGCGUUACUUUGGCGUACGAUAGGGGAUCCCGAAUUAACUAGUCUUAAUGACUCAAUCAAGACAAAAUCAGGAAGGAUAGGGUGAAUUUUAUCAAUAUAUAACAAAUGAGGCACCAGCAAGAAGGAUCAUCUCUUACAUACAGUUAAGGAUGCACUCACUCUUGGCUACAUUGGGUGUUUCAAGACUUAAGAUCGACUAGUCCUUUUGUCGAGAACAAUAAGUAAGAACGACCUUUAGGGAAGUAAACAGGUUGAGUUUCACUUUCAACUAAGAAAUUAAGAGGACAAGGCAGUCAUAAAAGAUGAAUAGAAUGCAAAUAAAAUGAAUAACUAUCCAACCUUAAUCUUUUGGGAUAUCCAUAGGCCAACAUCUUGAAGAAGCUUAUUUCCAGAAGCAUCCUGUGUGCUCAUAGACUGCACACUCUCGGAAACAAGUUCCUGUCCUGCUCCUUCAGCAAUCACAAUAACCAUGUGCCCAUUUUCUUUGAGUCUUUUCUCUAUGUAUUCAAAAAGUCCCCCUGGACCUUCAAGGUAAAAGGGUGACUCCGGAAUCAAGCAACAAUCCACAUCUCGACUUGCAAGGGUAGCAUACAUUGCAAUAAAUCCUGCACCAUACAUCCCAAAUGCACCAUAUACUAAGUGAAGUCUGGUUCACUAACAAAGUCAAUAAAAGAACUUUUAAACAUCACAUUAAUGUUAAAAUGAGAGAACAAUGUAUGAUUGAUGGCCUUAACAUACUAAUAGAUGGAAAAAUUACAGAAUGAUUCACAUUUUAUUGAAACCACAAAUGGAUUGCAGAUAGUAGGCAAUUGAUAUUAAAAUUGAACCCUUAAGCAGGGCUGUGGAGGCAUCAUAAGCAUUUAGGAAAAUUACCGCUGUUUCUACCCAUCAACUUGACAACACCUAUGCCAUUCUCAACACUUUCAGCUUCAACAUGUGCCGCAUUUAUAGCUCGUUGCGCCUCCUCAACAGCAGUGUCAAAGCCAAAGGACUUGUCAAUAACCUACUAAGCAACAAAGCGACAGCAGAAGAAUUUUACCAACUAAUGUUGCUAAUGGGGUUUAAAUUAUGAGUUUAAAGCCACGAUGCAGAAGAAAGAAAGAUUUACCGGGAUAUCAUUGUCUAUUGUUUUGGGGAUUCCAACAACUGAAACUUUGAGACCACGCCUCCUGACUUCCUGCAUGCAUAAUCAGGUUGAAUUAUUAGUUACUUGCUACUCUAAUCCAAUUAGUUUAACAGAGCUUAAAUAUCCUAAUGAUCUUGUUAAAAUGUUCAUUCAUAAGUCUGACAGUCACUUCAUGUGAUGACAGAUGAUUCAUGUGAUGGCAGAUGAUUGUUGUUACUUGAGACGUCAGCCUAGUUAAGAUAUCAAGUUACGUAAUGAUGCCUAACAUAAAAGGUUUUAUAAAAAAAAAGGUCUAACAGUCAUUUUAGAUACCUCAAAAAUUACAGAUGCUCCCUUCUGAGUUCCAUCUCCUCCAAUGAUAUAAACCUGAAAUUUAGAAAAAUAUUAAUCUUAUGUACAUACACAAAAAGGAUACUUCUAAAUAGAAAGAAAUGCAGACCUGAUUGAUUCCCCGAUCUUGAAUACUGUCAACUAUCUUUUUGGUGUCAUGUCCACCUCUCGAUGUUCCCAGAACAGUCCCCCCACGCUUAUGUAUAUCAUUCACACUUUUAGGAGUUAAAGUGAUUGUGUUGCGAGCAUAGAAGCCCCUGUAUCCUCCCUUCACAUCAGAACAGCAUCAUUAGUUACAGAUACCAGUAAGAAACUAUGAUAGCAUAUGAUGUCAUUGAAGAUUUACACUUUUAGGCAUGAGAGAACCAAGGAUGGGGAAAAUUAACUCCAGAAUAAAUGACUUUUAAGUGACACCAAAUAAGGAUUAAUAUUACUUCUUUUUUUUUGUGAUGACAGAGUCUUGCAUAGUGAUGUCGGACAUAAAAACUUUAUAUAUAUAUAUAUAUAUAUAUAUAUAAAGUAAAAGCCUGUACAAUUAUUACAAAGCAAGAACAAUGCGUUGGUCUCUUUAAACAAGAGCAAAUUAGUACAUUAAUAACCAACCUCAGGCAUUAAGGUUUGUUUGAAACGACAAAGAAUUGAAAGUUAGGGGUGAAACUCGUAUGAAACAAGCAGAGAACUUUCAGACCUUUUUUUAAUCCCAAAACAACAAUGAAAAACAGUUAAAGAGAAAGAAAAAAAACCAUGAAGAAAGAUUCACGUACAUUGAUUCCCAAAACUUUCUUCACGCCAUACAUAUGGUUCAAGCCACAUACUAAUUCCCUAAUGACAGUGUUGAGCCCGGGGCACAGACCCCCACAAGUAACAAUGGCAGCCUGAACUUCAUCUGCUUCAAAAUACACCUGAACAUCCAAUUUUAGAAGCCAUAAAUAUACCAAAUUUACCAAACAAUGCACCUAAAAUGUACCCCUCUUGCAGACCAGACACACACGUAGAAACGUACCUUUUGACGAGGCCCAGCACGCCUAAAAUGUACCCCUCUUGCACCAUCUUUGUGAACAACGACCUGUCAUAAAAUCAGAGAACAAAAUGGAAAUAAGUGACAGGUAAAUCAAGGUGAGUAGGUAACAACACUGUCCAAGCUGCAAAUGGAAACAAACAUAAAACCCCACCAACAUUCACCCCAUGCAGUUACCAUUCCAUUAAAGUUUGGAUUUGAAGGUGUCCAUACUUAGCAAGGGAGAUGCAGCACCACCUUAACGUAGAAACCAGUUAAUAGCCAAAGCUUUAGGCAUCAUCAGCAAACCCAUCCCAAAUUACCUAAAAAACCAUUAAAAUCGUAACCAGAAACCAACCUUUUGAGGAACGCUGUCAUCAACAUGCACAAAGUACUGCCUGCAAAACAACAAGUAAACAAAAUUCAAUUCACCAAUCAAGCAACAAAGUAAAGGAAAUCACAACACAAGAGACGAAUUAAUCAAUCAACACUCACUUAACAACUGAAUAAGCAGGGUUGUCUUGCAAAGGAUUCGUGUAUGUCUGCGGCAACACAAGCACACAAUAAUCAUACACUAAUCUUGUAAUUAAGUGAAAAAAAAAAAAAAAAACAAGCUACCCAAAAGAAAAAAUUGUGGAACUAAUUACUCAUUUCUGAUCCCAACCCAGAAAUUAAAAAGCUUUUCCAUUAUUAAUUUUUGGUGUCGGCAGGAAAAAGGGGCAAGAAAAAAGUCAUUGGGUUAUAUAAUACGACAAAGCAUUCGAGUGGUUCGAGGAAACAGAGGAAAAAAGGUCCACGUGAUCGCUGAUCAGGUGAUGAAGCAGCUUUAGACGGUGACCCAACAGAAUAUGAGAACGAUGAAAACGACGACGUACUGGGAGAUUAGGAAAGUAAUCGGUCAAAUGGGGAACAUCCUCGAGGACGUAACCAGCUGUGCCGGUGACGACCUUUGGGUCGGUGUUGGCAGGGGAAGCCAUCGCAGCGGCGCGUGACGGCGAUCUGGCAGGUUCGGAGCUCAGCUUGGGAUGAAAGAAACCGUUUUGUUUGAUGGGGUCUUGGUUGUGAUUUGGAAAAUUGGAAUUAGAAUUAGAAUCCAUUCAAAGGUAGUAACAGGAGUUGAAGAAGAUGAAGAACAGAGUGUUCAUAUUUAUAGUAAACGGAGUUGACCGAAGGAAUCAGACACCAAAGUGGAAUUUUCUGAUUUUGUAUGAGAAAUCAAUGAUGAAGGGUAACAGCUUAAAGAAAAAAGAGAAGGUGAAAAAGGAACUUUCUUGUGAAGUAGAAACAGGUGGCUGAAGAUGGAAAUGGAUUUGAAACUGUAUGAUCCACAGCUUUUUUGAGGGUCGGCGUGGAACACAGUGAUGCUAUGCUGUUGUUGUGGGCUACUUCUUUCUUCUAGAAUAAACCUCGGAGAUUCCGGAUUCCUACACUUUUUUUUUUAUUUUUCUUAUUUUUUUCAAAUUCUAUGUUCUGUUUUUUGUUCCAGCAGAAAACAGAGCCAGUCUCUGCCUUCCAUGUCUCUGUCUUCUACCACAUAAAAACUCCAACCUUUUUUUUAUUUUAUUUUAUAAAUUGUAAUUUGUUGGGUAAAAGUUAAAUAAAAAUGAAUAAAUAAAUAAGAAUUCGAUAGAAAUUAGGAAUUUGAAAAUAGUUAGUUGUUCCCUUUAGGUGAAGCCAUGCUCCAUACCUUGGAAGCUCACAUGAAUCAACUUUCCAAUGGAUAUCAAUGUUUUCAUGUGACAUAUUUGCUUGUGGAUGAACAAGAAGAAGUGCUUCUUAGGUUAAAGAUAACUAGAACUUGUAAAAUAUAUGGUUGAUUAGGGUGUGUUAGUGACUUGUUUGGAUUUUUACUAAAAUUUAGUGAAAAUCAUAGCAAAAUAUAUUGACCUUUGAAUUUUGUUUGGGGAACUUUUUCUGAAAAGUCCUUUGAACAACUUAAGGAGGCCAUGAGUUCUUUGUUUGUGAUAAUGAUGCCUAAUUUUGACAAGUUGCUUAUGAUUGAAGACAAGUGCCUGAAGAAAAUAACCAUAUAAAUUAGUAGAUCAUCUUUGAGAUUAAAUACAAAUUUAGAAAAUAAAAAUUGAUUUUAUGUUGAUAUAAUAAAUCUUAUCUUUUUAUAAAAAUGUCAUCAUACAUUUUUAUGACUGACAUAAUAAAUCACUUAUUACGAUGGUUUUAUACUGAUUACGAUGGUUUUAUACUGUUUUGACAUAAGUAAAUACUUAUUAUGUUAGUUUCUAAUUUCAACUGAUGCAUAAUAAAUGUGAUAUUUAUUAUAAAAUGGUUAUCAAACUACUUUUUAUGAGAGAUGGAUUACACUCAUUAUCAUAAAUUAUCGUUGUUUUUUUAUUUUUAAACAAGUGAAUUCUUAAAAAAAAAUUGAAACAAUGUACUUUAUCUACCAGCAUUGUCAUUAAUAGUGAAAUUUUGAGAAAAAUAAAAAAAAAUAGAAAGAUUGAUGAAAGGAAUUGUUGAAUAUAAAUUCACAUCUUAGAUUCUAACUUAGAGAUGGUAACUAUAUUACAUAAACAAAAUAGUGGUUAUAUUUAUUUAUGAGAAUAUAAAGAAUGUUGUUCAUAUUAAAAAAAAUCAUCAAAUACAAGUUUAUAUGAAUAUUAAUGCAAUGAAAAUCAAAAUUUAAGAUUAUCACUGACAAAAAUCGAAUCGAUGUUAUGAUAGUUUUAAGAUUUUUAUAGAUUUACUUACAUGCAUGGAAAAAAAAAUGUACAUGAAUUAUAAUUGAUUAUGACUUUAGUAUGUACAUUAUUUUUUAACCCAUAAACAAUAAAAAAAGACAUCAUUCUUUUAUUCUAUUGUCUACACCUACAAAUGCAUGUUUAUUUUAUUUUAAAAUUAUCCUUUUAUAUCUAAUAAUGAAGUAUGAUCUAUCACAUUUUUUUUGGAAAAUGCACUCUAAACAAUGAUACAAAACAUAAUUUAAAUCAGUUGUCGUUUUAAUAUGUGAGACAUUUAAUUCAUCUAAUUAAAAUCGUGGUAAAAUGUAUAUUUAAUUUUAAAAAUUAAAUAAAGUUUUAAAAUAUUACUUUUAUUACAUAAAUUAUUAUUUUUCAAACUUAAUUUAUACUCAUUCUUAUUAAAAUACAUCCAAGAUCAUGUUUCUAUGAUAUUAUAUAAUUUUCUUUUUCUUGACUUGUCUACCUUUAUAUCCUUCUUUAUUUUUUUUUCAUUUUUUUCCUUUUACGAUUAGUCUUAUAAUUUGUUGAAGCAUUUUUUAAAAAUAAAAUUGUAAUAUAAGACCUACCUUCAAAAUAGACAAUAUUUCAAAUAAUUUUAUGUAUGGAAUUUGAAAUCAAAACAAUAUAAUUAUUAAAUAAAAAAUAUUAAUAUUCAAAUGAAGAGAAAACACAAUUACUUGUUUAAUAUGAAUGUAUAUACCUAAUAAUUACUAUAUUAUUUGUAAAACGAAUAACAAGCUUUAACAAAAAGAAACAUUUAUUUAUUAAUGAUACCACUAACCAUAUUUAGAUUUCAUUGCUCUAAUUAUUAAUAGCACAUUCGAUUCUGAAUGUUGAGUAUGUUCAAGGCAAAGCUUCUACCAUUAAAAAAAAAUCUAUUACGUCAGAUAAAGAUUAUUGACAAGAAAUAAACAAUUUUUUUUAUUAGAGUGCAAUUUUUUUAUAAGCUCAAAACUUUCACAUCAAUGACUGAUUUUUAAUUCUAUAAGUGUUUUCUGAUUUAAGUGGAAAAUAAUUCAGUUUUUCUUGAAUUAAAAAAAAAACUAACUAAAAAAUUACGUAGUAAUAAUUUGUAGAAAGUAAUCACACGUUGAAAUUUUUGUUAAACUAAAGUUUUUAAAUAAUUUGUAAACUAAUAGUUGAUGUCAUUGUUGACCUCAUAUACUAUUAUCUUAAUUAUUUUAGCAAUUUUUUGUUGCAUUACAAACAUCAUGAAAAGCCAAAAUUUUAUUUAAAAAAUAUACAUUAUUAGAUGGAUGAUGUCGUGGUGUAUAUUCAAAAGUGCAUUAUGAAAUAUUAUAAACAAAAUCUUACCAAAAAUAAUUAAUUAUAACAAUAAUACUGCAAAUAAUAACACUUCUGUCAAGCAUGUUACAUGACACCUACAAAUAAUAUUAUAUUUAAAGGAGUUAAUUUUAGUUAUAUGAAAGAACAUUUAUAAUUAAAUUUUCUCAUUCAUUUGGUGUUUUUUUAAAGCUUUCAUAUUUCUUAUUUGGUGUUUUUUUUUAUCUCUAUAAACUAUUCAUCUGUUUUUUUAAUAUUUUUCUUUCUGCUUAAAAUUUAUUAAUAUUUUUCAGUCACAUAACUAUACGAUUAAGUCUCAAAUAGAAGAUAAAAAUUAGGCCCCAUUUUGUUUUUUCAAUAAAAACAUUUUUAAGAGUAAAGUUUGGUUUUUACGAAGUUACACAAAAAGGCCGUGAAUUACAAUAUUAAGAAAAGAAGGUGUGACAAAAUAGUGUUUAUAUAUCAUAAAGUUCUUUAUUAUAAUUUUUAAAACAUAUUUAUUCUAUAAUCAAGUCCUGUUAAAUUUUUUAUGCAUAUUAAUUGUAAAAAUACACGUUUUUUUCUUAAGUAAUAAAUAAUUUUCUGUAUUUACACUUUUUUAUAAUAUCCUAUGUUACUACACACUACACACAUGUGCUAAUUUAGUUGAGUUGAAACAAUAACUAAUCAUUCUAUAAGGAUGUGUUUAAAAAAAUACUUAAUAUAAAAAAGUAUUCCAAAUACCAACAUUAUUAUUAUAAUAUAUAACAGUGUAAACCAUAUAUAAUAUUAGUCAUAACUUUUUAUUAAUUUAACCCAAAAAAAUAAAAAAAUUUAACCUCUCCUUUAAUAAUUUCACAUCAGUGAUAUAUUUUUCAAGACAAACUUAUACUUAAUAAAAAUCACCACUAUUAUAUAUAUAUAUAUAUAUAUAUAUAUAUAUAUUCACAUGUUGUCUUGCGAGUUGAGACGGAAAGAUUAUUACCUUUGUUGGAGAUCUCACAUCGACUAGAGAUUAGAGCCUUUCAUUGUAUAUAAGUGGGUGCAAAUCUCAACCCUAUGAGCCGGUUUUAUGGGGUUGAAUUAGGCUUAAAGUUCACUUUGUACUAUGGUAUCAGAGCCGUUUCGAGUCUAUCCUAGCGAGUAUUUGUUGGGCCUAGUGUCACCAGCUAUCGGGCCGCUAUCGAACCACCCAUAAUAUAUAGUCUCACGCACCCAAACGACUUAUCUCUGUUCUCAUUCUCUCAUUCGCAAACUCUCAGUUUAGAUGAUAACUAUAAAAGAUAUUCUGGUGCUCAAAUGAGAUUUUGGUAUUCGAUACUCGGUGCAAUUAAUAUGUAACAAUGACAUACUUUUUACUCAAAAUUCAUGACUAUUUAUAUGAUUAUUAUGUGUCUUUUGUUACUGAGUGGAUUAGAAUUUUAAAUCAUAAUUAAAAACAUAUUAUUUAAUGAUUAAUGACGUGCAAUUAACCUUGUGUUUGAUUAAAGUUAUGUUAUUUGGGAGCGUCUUCCCGAAUAAUAAAGGCACGAAUGGUGGAAAGUGAUAGAAAAUAAUAUAUUCGCGCAUGCAAAGUGGCAUAUAAAUAAGAGUGACAUGAAGUUAAAAGAAAAUAAAAAAGUGUUUGGACCAAAAAUAAAAAAGCAAUUAUGCUUUGAUCUACAUUUGGACCUUCAAGCUCUGCUCUCUCUGUCAUUCCCCCAGAACCUGGUUCGUCCCCACCACCAAUCUAAUCUUUUAUUUACUUAAUAUAAAUAUUAGUCAAGAUAAAAUUAUAACAUUAAAUUAUAGGAAAUGAAUGAGUAUUGUUGUAAAAUCCAUUAAUAGUAUAUAAAUGAUUAUAAAAUUAAUGAUUAUUGUUGUAGAUGAAAAAAAAUGGUUUAGAAAUAAAAUUAAUUUAUAGUAUAUAAAUGGUUAUAAAUUUGACUUUACAAGUAAGUUAACUUCUUUUUUAAUAAUAUUACAUAUUUUUAUAGAAUAUAUUUUGAGAAGAGUUUGUUUGAUUUAUCAUGUCACUGAUCAUUAUUGAAUCGGGUUUAGAGUUUAGGAUUUAGAAUUUAGGAUUUAUGAUUUAUGCAUAAAUAUUUAGUUCAUUCAAGAGUUGAUAAUUUUAAUGUGAGAAAAAUAUAUUAAAAAUCUCAAAUUAAUUAAAAAUAAUUAAUUUAUAAUAUACAAAUAGGUAUAAAAUAUAUAUUAUAAAUUAAUUUUGUAAAAAUUUUAGAUUAAAUUUAAAGUUCACUUAAAGAUCCUUGAGUGAAAGUGUAUUAAAAAAAUAAAUAAAAAACCAAGUUAUAAUAUAUUUAUAUAAAUAAGUGAAAAAUUGAUCAAUGGAUUUUAUAAAAUUAAAUUAAUUUUUUUGAGUUAUAAUAUCACUCCUAUUUUGAGGAAAAAUAAUAUUAAGUAUGUUAAAAUAUUAAAAUUUUUGAUAUUAAAGUAAAAGUAAUGUUUAGUUGAUUCUCCAAUUAAAUAAAAAGCUAAAAUAAAUAAAUUGUUUAGUUGAGUGAAGUUGAUGAGACACUUUACAGCAUAUGAAAUGGUCCAAAAGAAACAAAAAGGAAUGAAGAGAAAACACAUUAAUGAGUGGUUCUUAGCCAUCCGUACAGGCCUUAUGCCACCGUCAAGCCCUUGCUGCCCAUCCAUCAACCGUUUCUUCUUAUUCAUAAAUUAAUUUUUUUUUAUCCGAUAAACACUCGUUAGGAUAGCUUCAAAAUGAUUUUGAUAUCAUAUUACAUAGUAGACUUUAAACCUAACUCAAUCUUAUAAAACCGGCUUAUAAAGAUGAAAUUUUCAAUCACUUAUAUACAUGAAUUAUUCUCAUAUCUGGUCGACGUGAGAUCUUCAACCGAUAUUUACAUUAAAAUAUUAUUUAAAAUGAACUAAUGUGUAAUGAUAGUAAAACAAUACACAUAGUGUAGCCAAAAUUAUCAAGUGGUGUUAGAACAAAUCAAAAUCCUAAAUAUUCAUAUAGUCCAUUAAUUUGUGAUUAAUCUAUAUAUAUGCAUUUGGCUACAUAACUCAUGGGCUUUCUUAUUCAUUUAACUUACCCAACGUUUUUUCCUUUUGCACGCAACUUAUUUCUCACCAAAUCUUCAACAAAAUUAAUACCUCAUCGGAACUUUCAUCUUAGAUUAACCUUUUCUAACACAAAUAAAUCUCUUCUAAACAUUGAACAAAAUAAUUAAGUAUAUGAUAUAUCUUAAGAAUAUAUAUAUAUAUAUAUAUAUACUUUUUUAAACACUUUGUUAAAAAGUUAAUUUUAGUCUAAUUUAACCUCAUAAAACUUACUUAUAAGGUGAGAUUUGCAUCCACUUAUAAAUAAUGAAAUAUCAUAAUUUUUAAUCGAUGUGAAAUGUCCAACACACCCCUUAUGUUGAGGCUACCAAUUCGUGCGUACGUGGAAAUAUAUGUUAUAGGUGGUCUAAUAACGACCAAAUAACAGGUGACACAAUAUGUCCAACAAACUCUCGCUAAGAUAAACUUUAAAUGACUUUGAUACCAUGUUAAAAAGUGAACUUUAAGUCUAACUCAACCUCAUAAAACCAACUUAUAAGGUGAAGUUUGUACUGAAAUAUCCUAAUAUCUAACCGAUGUGAAAUCUUCAAUACACUUCAAAUUGCAUAACACAUUUAAUUUAACCAACUAGUAAACAUUAAUUAAAAUUGACAGAAGUAAGAUAUUUAAACUAACUUUUUUAAUUUAUUAAAUAUUAAAGUUUAAAAAAUUCUACUGAAUAUUAAAAACAUAUACAAACUUAUAUAAGUGUAAUAAAAUGACUAUAAUAAGAUAAUAUUGUUGCGUGGUGGCUCUGAAGUUGGUGGACUUUUGGUCCGUUAAUUUCACCCACCAUGGAAUUCUACCUCUCAAGCAAUGUUACAAAGAGGCCCAACAAGAAACACAUAAUUGGGUCAAGUUAUGGGCCACCCUCUCACGAAAUUUCUUUUCAAUAUCUGCGCUAACCUUUUUUUAAUAUAAUAAAUUAAAUAUAAAAUAAUUGGGUUUCAUUUUUAAAAAUAUAAAUUUAUAAUAUUCUCUCUUUCUUUCUUAUAAUAUAAGGUCCACCCUUUAUUCAAAUAUUUGAUAUUCCUAACCAUUUUAUUCUUUCAAAUGAUAAUCUUUUACAUGCAUUUUAAAUUUGAAAAAAAUUAACUAUAUAUAUAUAUCAUAAUUUGGAAUUAUUUGUCGUAAAUAUUAAAUAUAUAUAUAUAUAUGCAGGUAUUCGUUUAUUAUAAACGUUAGAUAUAAUAUGAUUUACAUAUUAAAGAAUAUUUGUUUAUGUACCUGUAAUUUUUAAUUUUUGAUUAUAUAAAAACAUUUAUUCUACUAUUUCUUUGUUAAAACACUAGUUAUAAUUCAGUUAGCAACAUACUAAAUUAGUGAGAUACGACUUUAGUUUUCAUAUCACACAUUCUUAAUUAUUUAGAGAUAAAGGAUUUUAGAUGUGACUAAAUCUCUUUCUAAAAAUUAAAUUAAUUAUCACUAUAAGAAAAUCAAGAAAUAGAAACCAAUUUUUAGAGACAAAAAAUAAUUAGCUACUAUAGUGACUAAAUUAAAUUAAAGACUAUUUUAGAGAUUAAAAAAUGUUUGGUUUUUAAAUUAAUUUCUAUUAUUGUUAAAUAUUUUCUAAAUUGUUAUCUAAUUAACUCCCAAUUAUUUAGAUUCUAAAUUGGGUAGAGAAACUUGAUAGCUAAUUAGAUACCAAUUUAAAAACUAUUUAUCAAUAAUAGAAACUAAUUUAGAAACCAAUAAUUUUUUUAGUCUCUAAAUGUAGUAUUUAAGGUCACUAUUUCAACUAAUUAUUUUUUUAUCUAAAAUUGGAUUUUAUUUAAUGAUUUUUUUUAGUGAAAAAAUACUUAAAAAAACUGAAAAAAAUAAUUGUAAAUUGUGCAAUGGAAAACAAAAGUUCACCCUAAAAUUACAGUAAACAAAAGUUAGAGAAGUACUUGUCCUCUGCCACUUGAAAGCAAAUAGAUAUAUCCUACCUUUUUUUUUAUUUAAUAAUAAAAAAAAAGUGAAAAACUACUAUUCAAAUAAAUCAGAAAAUUGAAAGUUCAUGCAAACCCUACCUUUACGUCAUGAAGAAGAUCCUAGCUGGAACUAAAACUCUGUGUUAUACCAUUAAUGUUUUUUCCUUAUUCUUAAUUACCUCCUAAUUAAUUACUUUGUACUUAUUUAAUGAGAACCCUGAUCAUACCAAAUUUGUCUCCUCUGUUAAUUAUAUUAAUUAUUGAUGUUAUGGGAAUGAUAAUUGCACUUUUAUAAUCGAAUUAUUUAUGUGAACCAGAGAUCUAAAGACAAAAAUUUGGGAGUGUUAAUCUUCAUUUGCACUCUAGAAUAUACAUAAACACCGUAUCAAGAAUUGUACUAAUGUACUAUAUUAUUCUUAAUGCAGAAAAGAGAGUAUUUUGGAAUAUUUUUUCUGAAUAUAUAAAAAAAAUAAACACUUCGUUUUAUACUAUUAUUAUCAUUACUAUAAGAGUUGAUGUUCCUCGGAACUGUGUCACCAACCAUUUUAUAGGUGAACAAAUAUUAUUAAAGAGUGGAAUGUUUAUGUAAGACUCAUGGAGAGGAAACAAAGGUUGUGUGGGAAGAUGAAAAUGUGUUAGAAUGUGGGCUCCUUUCCAUUGUUUCAUUUAAGGUCAACUUAAAUGGAUAAUAAAAACGAUUUCAUUUUGUUUUUUUUUUCAUCUCAGAAAAUAAAAUUAAGAGAAACUAAAUUAAAUAGUUAUAGAAUCUAUUAAGAAGUGGACUUUAAGUAUAACUUAACUUCAUAAAACCGAUUUAUAAGGUGAGGUUUGCAAUCACUUAUAAAACAUGAAAUAUUAUAAUCUCUAGUCGAUGUGAAUGAAAUAUCAUAAUCUUUAGUCGAUGUAAAUGAAAUAUCAUAAUCUCUAGUCGAUGUGCGAUCUCCAAUAUAAGUGGGUGCAAACCUCACCUUAUAAGUCGAUUUCAUGAGGUUGAGUUAGGCUUAAAAUACACUUCUUAAUAUAGUAUCAGAGUCAUUUCGAGUCUAUCCUAAUGAUUGUUUGUUGGGCUUAUCAGACCACCCGCUAUCGGACUGUUAUCGGACCAUCUAUAAUAUCUAGUCCCACGCACGAAUUCAUAGUCUCGGUGUCAGGGUGUGUUGGAGAUCCUAUAUCGACUAAAGAUUAAGACAUUUUUUAGUAUAUAAAUAAGUAUAAACCUCACCUUAUAAAUUGGUUUUAUGAGGUUGAAGUAUGCUGAAAGUCCACUUAUUAAUAGAAUCUAUGAAAAUGAAAAAUUUAUUAUGAACAUGUGUUUAAAGAUUUUUAUUUUUAUAAAAGUAGCAUAUGUUAUUAUUUAAAUUUAAAAAAAAAUACAAACAUGGUUGAAUUUUUGUGGGGUGGUGUGCUUGUGCUUGGUCCAAAUUUGUGCAUACUACACCCUUAAGAUAGGAUAUAUUCCUUAGGUGUGUGUGUCUGUCUAAGAAAUUUAAGGAAAAAAAUGUGGUUUUCCUUGUGAUUGUGAGGUCCAUGAAAAGAAAGCAUAGGUAUGAAUUUGCAAAAAGAAAGAAAAACAGAAAAAAGGUAAAAACAGGAGACAAAGGAGCAAUCAUGGCCAUCUAUCUAUACUGCAAACAUGAUUUGGGACCCUCCAUCAUUUUUCUCUUGACUGCUCCAAAGAAUGCUCUUAUAAACGUGAAACCUUGCCAUCAUCUGAUUACAAUACUUUAUCCACCUUAAGAUUUUCAUGCUGGACCCCAACUCUCACUUCCUAUACUAUUUCAUCAAUACUUUAUAUAACCUCCCAAUACAAAUAACACAACCUCAAAUUAUAACUCAACAUUCUUUUCCUUUUCUUUUUAUCAACAACAAACAAUUAAAUUAAAUCGGCACACUUAAUGGUGGUUCAACCCUCGUACAAAGUAAGAUAGGUCAAAGAGUAUCUUUUCACAUACACAUAAAAAAACUAAACAGAAUUCUCCUACUUCCUAAUCCAAUGUUACCAACUAAAAAAAAUAAAAAAUCAAGAAUCAACUCUUAUAAUGACAUUAAAUCAAAUACAUACAUAUCAAAAACUCACCCAUAUCAAAAACUCACCGAAUAUAUGUUUGAUACAUUGUUUUCCCUGCACCAGUAAGUUAAAGAAUUUAGCAGUAAAGUAAAAUUACUAUCUCAACACCUUUUACAAUUAUAGUAAAAGAAAUAGGUUUUUACUUAAAUAUAGACCUCACAUAAAGAAAGUAGUAUUGUGUAAGAUGAUAGUAAUAAACUGAUGUAUUUGGGUGUGCAUCUGUCACCAUUUUCCUUAUCUCAAUACUCAUAUCUAUCAUGAUUUCAUGUAUACUGAUACUGUCAAAGUUCUUUAUUAUUUUUCUAUGCAUGAAAAUUAAGCUUUACUUUUUAUUACCUAUAGGUGUAAACUAUUUGGUACUUCUGGUCCAAGUUAUAUAUAUAUAUAUAUAUAUAUAUAUAUAUAUAUAUAUAUGAAAGAAUAUGAUUUAACAUAGUAAUUAGAAGAGGUGGUGGUCCAUCAAGUACACACAGGUUUGUCUUGCUUAUCAAGCAACCACCUUCUAAUACUCCCCACCCAUCUCUUUCUCUCUCUCUUGUGUGUGAAAAAACAUUCAUGGCAAAAGCAUCAUGAUCAGCACUCCAGCUCAAAACCCAUGUGGUUUCUAUCAUCCCUUUUUCCCUUAUUUCCAUCUGGGUGUCUCACCAUGUCUUUCUUUCUCUCUCUCUCCCCUAAAAAUCUUACCUUUAAUCUCUUAUUCUUAAAUAAUCACACCGUAAUUCUGCCCCAUGUCGUCCUUAUUACUCAAACUCCAAACUUUCUGACACCUAUUAACAACUCACUAUUUGCAUUUCCAAAUCCAUUAAUAUAUAUACAAUACCUGUUUUUCCUCAUAGCUAACACUAAUUAACCAUCACACACAAAAAUGCAAAUCUUUAAUCAAAUUUUCACUGUAGCAACAAAACUCCAAUUCUAGUUAAACAAUAUAAACAAUCUAUACAUUUGGGGUGUGUAUUUUUUAUAAUCAUAUAAAAUAAGACAUAAAUUGUAAGGUUGGUAGAAGAAGCUUGAUGAGUAACAGCUAUGUGGCCGUUUUGUGGCUUUUGCUUUUGUAGUCAAGGCUGAAGGAAAGGUGUAAUACUUGUAGGAUAGAGGGAAGAGAGAGAUUGGAUUUUUUGAGCUUUAGUCAGAAAAAACCAACAGGGUUUUCUUUCUUUCUUUCCUGUUUCUUUGCUUCUCUUUUUCUCUCUCUCUCUCUCUCUCUCUCUCUCUCACUCUCACUCUGUCAUAAACCGCCUACAUACAUGCACUUCUUAAACUAGCAAAGGCUUAAAGGUACUAUAUGUGUGUUUGAAGCAGCAGCUAGCCACCUUUUCCUUUCUUAUUUUUCUCACUGUCUUCAGUUAAAGCAGUGAAUUCUGGUGUUUUCCAUGGUUGAAGCAGGUUUAUAGCUCAAUCUUAUUGUAACUCCCUUCCUCUUUCCUUCAUCUACCUCUUCUUUAUCUUAUCCUCACCCAAUAUUUUCCUUCUUUCCUGCAUAUUCUCAUCUGGGUUCUGCAGAUUUUCUUCUUUCAAGGAUCAAUUUCCUCUCUUUAACAUAGGGAGUUAGUAUUUUCCAUCAUCAUUUUUUGUCCAUGUUCAAGGUUUUUCCCUCUGUUUGCAUAUUUUAGCCUAGUUUUCUCAACCGGAUCAUCAUCUUCUCAAGCAUAUAUAAGUUUCAUUUCUUAAUACAUAUACAUGUUUUAAUAAUUAGCAGUUCUUAAAAACUUAGGAAAAAAAAAAUCAUUAGGCAUGUUAUAUACUGUUGUUUAUGCCUUGUUCAUCCAGCUUCCUCUGUUCAUUUUGGAGAAUUUUGUGUUUUGAUGGAUCUGAAUUGGGUCUUGGAUUGGAUUUUUCUGUAAUAUAGAGAACAAAGUUGGACAUGCUAAGUUGUGGAGUGUUGUAUAAAAAGGGAGUUGCAGUAAUAUUUGAAGGCAUCUGGUUUGAUCAAGAGAGAUAGCACACGUGACGAUGAGUAAGAUGAGCAACUUGAGUUCUGUGAGCAGUUCUGAUCUCAUAGAUGCAAAGCUUGAAGAGCAUCAAUUGUGUGGAUCCAAGCAGUGCCCUGGUUGCGGACACAAGUUUGAAGGGAAGCCGGUACGGAAAAAUAUCUCAAUAAUAUUCUUUCCUUCACUGAAAAGCCUUUGAAAGUGUGUAUGAAGAAGAAUCAUAUCAUGCACAGGCACCAAAAGUAUAGCCAUAUUUCUAUGCUUGUGCCUGUUUUGUUAUUGGACUCUUCAUUUGAUGAUGGGGUUUCCCUUUUUAAUUUCAUGUCACUGCUAAAGUUUGAGUAUUAAUAUUAUCUUUUGUUGAUUAAAGGCUUCACCCUCUUUAUUUUCUCUUUCCCUUGUGUUAUAUUCCUCUUGUUCCUCUUCUCUUUCUCUCUCUCUUUCUCUACCUUUGAUUUUGGUUUUUCACUUGAAUUUCAAUGGAGACUGCAGGACUGGCUUGGCCUGCCAGCAGGAGUGAAGUUUGAUCCCACAGACCAAGAACUGAUAGAACAUCUUGAAGCCAAAGUGGAGGCCAAGAACAUGAAAUCACACCCUUUGAUAGAUGAGUUCAUUCCCACUAUUGAAGGAGAAGAUGGAAUUUGUUAUACCCAUCCUGAGAAACUUCCAGGUGUGAGAUAUUCACAGUUUUUUUUAUCAGCAAUAAAUAAAAUGAACAAGUUGAUGAAAAAGUUCAAAUCACCUCUCCUUAAUUUCUAACUCUCUCCUACUACUUUCUAAGAGUGAUCUUCUAACCAUCUUAUCCAUUAUUCAUAACAAUUUUCAAGGUAGGUUUUACUAUAUAGAGAGAGAGACACCAAAAUCACCUUUGGCAUUUUUAGGAAACUUAUACUAUAAUUAAUGUAGAAAAGGGUUUUAUUUUUGAGUUCACCUAAUUAAGUGGACCUAACUUUGAUUUUGGGUGUGUCUAAUAGGAGUAACAAGAGAUGGAUUGAGCAGGCACUUCUUCCAUAGACCUUCAAAGGCUUACACAACUGGGACAAGAAAGAGGAGAAAGAUUCAAAACGAAUGUGACUUGCAAGGUGGAGAAACAAGGUGGCACAAGACAGGUAAGACCAGGCCAGUGAUGGUGAAUGGAAAGCAAAAGGGUUGCAAGAAAAUUCUUGUGCUCUACACCAACUUUGGGAAGAACAGAAAGCCAGAGAAAACCAACUGGGUGAUGCACCAAUACCAUUUGGGGCAGCAUGAAGAAGAGAAAGAGGGAGAGCUUGUGGUGUCAAAGAUAUUCUAUCAGACGCAGCCAAGACAGUGCAACUGGUCUGAUAGAAGUGCAACAACUGAAGGAAGUGGAGAACCUAACAACAACAGUAGCAGAAGGGACAGUGGAAGUGGAAGUUCUUCUUCCAAAGAAAUUGUUACUCACAGAGAUGAGAUGUCUGCUCCAAUCACUACUUUCACUCAUCACCCUUUCGACAUCCACCAUCUAAAACCCGAUCACUUUAGCUUCAUCCCUUUCAGGAAAACCUUUGAUGAGGUACACUGCAUACACAUACAAUCAUGUAUAUAUAUAUAGCAUCACACUUGAUUAGACGCUUGCAUAGUUAUGAUUUUAACUAGACACCUUUUUUUCAAAUCAAUUAGUUGAAGGUGAUGUCUCACUUACACUGCUCACCAAAGCUAACAUAAUUCACUGAAUUUGAACAUUCUUUUGGUAAAACUUGCUUUUGCACCAAAAAGUGUAGGAUUAAGGUAGCUGCUGAUACAACACCAUUGCUUGCACACACAGCAUGAAUCUGUACGGCCAUGCUUAAUUAUAAAUCAGUUUCAACCAACCACUGCCUCUUACCUACCGCUGAAAGGUAACACCUACACGAGUUGAUAUCACAUGCAGCAAAGUUACAGCUAAAUUAUAUAUACUCACAUACCAAGAAAAAGAGAAAAAGGAUGAGGUUGAUAUGUUCUUCUUUUUCUUUUUUAGUUUGGUUUCUAUCUGUACUUUUCAAUUCAUCUGAAAUAAGCCAGUACAACCUUCAAAAUACUUUAUAAAAAUAACAAAAAAGUAUAAAUGAUAUAUGGUAUCUGACUAAAAAAAAUUAUCUGUGUUCUUGUGCAUAUUUUAUUUACUUUUUCUGAGGGAGAUAUAGUAUAACAUAUAGGAGAAUGCAGGUUGGAAUGGGAGAGGCUUCCACAGCAAGGGAAGUAGUGCAAGCAUCAGGUUCAUGUGAAGAUGUGCAUGAACGGCAGAGAGCACAACAUGUAGCUCAUCAUCAUCAACAACAGCAGCAACAUCAGCAGCAGCAGCAUGCUCAUCAUCAGAUUUCAAACUCAGCUUUUCAUAUCAGUAGGCCGUCACAUCCCAUCUCCACCAUUAUCUCUCCACCUCCCCUCCACCACACUUCCAUCAUUCUUGAUGACAACUCUUACCACCAUGUCUCUAGAAUAAUGCUCCAAAAUGAAAAUUUUCAGGUAAUUUUUCUUUUAUCAACAAUAAAUUAGAUAGAUAAAAGAAAACACGGUGUUACAACUCUUAUACAAAAUGUUGUGACCCAGAUGUGUUCAAGAUGAAGUGAGAGUGUAGGCAGUUCUUAAACAUUAUUAUAUACAUGAUUAUAGUUUUCUUCCUUUUUAAUUUUCAUAAUUGAGAACUACUGUAGCUGUUACCAAAUAUUGGACCAUUGAAAAAGAGUAAGACUGAGUAAACAUUCUAGUUAAAAUGUUUAUUUCAUAAUAACUUGCUACAUAAGGGUUUAUAUCAUGAACUUGACCAUGGAAAUAGUUAAAAUAAACUUAUCAUAGUAAGUUUUAGAGUUCAUUUUGUUAAAAUAAGUUUAAAAAAGGCCAUAACAUACUUUCAUAAUGCACUAACAUUUAUAAUAAUAAUAAUAAACCAUAAAAAAAAGAGAAGCUAAUAAUCAGUGAUAGAAAGAAAACCCAAAGGAGUAAGUCUGCAUGGUAUUGUGCAUGAGUCUUUUGGGAGUGGUUGAAAAAUGAGAAGCAUGAAACUGUCUUUUCACUUUUGAAAAUGUUGAACACGAUGAUUAAGAUGUGUGGUUUGAAUUUGAUUGUUGACCUUGGAAAAUGCAUCUAUGGUAUUUGUACACUUGGCAGCAACAACAGCAACAGCAUCAUAAGCUUGGAGGAAGGUCUGCGUCUGGUUUGGAGGAACUCAUCAUGGGUUGCACUUCAACUGAAAUCAAAGAGGUAACAAACAACUUUUUGACUCAGAAUUAUAUGAACUUUGUGUGUCAUAAUACCAAGAAAAAAGCAAAAGGAGGGCACAUAAUAUAAAGGAAAAAACAAUUUAUUUAUUUCUUUUAUAAAAAUAUUUGAUGUUAGGUAUUAUUAUGCAAUUUAACAUCUCAGUUACACAGAUAUUCAAGUAACAACAAUUAUCUGUCAUCACACAAAACAAAAUAUCAUUAAAAAAAUACAAAAAUAUGGAGGUCAAAACUCAUAUGUUAACAAAAACUAUACAUAGGUAAACUAUAUUUAUUCAUAAAGAAUUCUAAGAAUAGAAUAGAUGGAAGCCUAUUAUACCAAUGAAAUUAUUUUUUAUGAAUAAAUUCUAUAUUAGUAAAAAAUUAUUUAAUUAAUUUUACUUUGAGGUUAUGUUUUUCUUCCCAUUAUACACAGAAAGAAAAAUAGUAAAACAAAAAGUGAGACAUCAAUUCAAGCCGCAAGGAAUUUUAAAGGAAAAGGUUCUUCUUUAUCUCAUUUUUCAAUUGUUCAAGAAAUUGAAACCACUAACAUAAUUUGUUCCCCUCAUUAAUAGUUUUAUCUUUGUUCUUUUUUCUUUAUUCUCAUAAACAAGUUAAUUAAGACUAUAGGAAAAGUGAAAGCCACUUAAUUUAUUUCGUUUUUUCAUUGGGCCAUGUUUGGCAAGACUCCCAUUGACGUUUCACACUUUGACCAUGAGGUGGAAAGGCUAUUUUCAUGAUGAACCACUUAAUUUCCAUUUUCCAUAAUUAUAUAUUUUUUUUGACACAAAAAAUAAUUAAUUGUUAUAUUGACUAAAUUAGAUAUACUAUUUUAGAAACUAAAAAAAAUUAUUGAUGUUAAUAAGUAGUUUUUAAAUUGGUAUCUAAUUAGCUAUCAAGAUUUUUGCAACCAAAUUUAUAAUCUAAAUAAUUGGUAGUUAAAACGUUGAUUGAUAUAACUAAUUAGAUAUUAAUUUUGAAUAAUAGAAACUAAUUUAAAAUAAUAUCUAAUUUAGUGAAUAUAACAACUAAUUAUUGUUAGUCUUUCUCUGUUUAACAAUAUUUUAACAGUGAUAGUUUAACUUUUUAAAUUAAUGAAAAAAUAAUACAUGUAAAUUUUACAUGAAGAUUAAAUAGAACCAUAAUAUUCUUGAACUAUAUAUAUAACAUAGUUUUUCUUUGUGACUUAUGACUAUGAUUAGAAACCUUAACCCUAAUGGUUUGAAUCUCUUUACAGGAAUCAUCCAUGACAAACCCACAAGAAGCUGAAUGGUUGAAGUACUCUUCUUACUGGCCAGACCCUGACAACCCGGAUCAUCAUGGGUAGAAGAAAAGCAAAGAGAGAACUGCAGAGAAAAAACAAAAACCAUGUAGACAGCAUCAUAGUGAUGAUCAUCAUUAAUGCUUGAAGCCUCCCUCAAGUUUCCUUUCAAGAAAAGGCCAUGAAAUAAUAUCCAUAUACUUUGCUCUCUUUUUUGUUUCUUUUCCUAUGGAGGCCUAUUUAUGAAACUUUGGUGACUCUCACAAACACUGUGCAAUGGACAAGCUGGAAAGAAAGAACAAAGGGUGUGGAAGAUUGCAAAUCAAAGAGAAAGAGAAGAAAAAGAAAAGAUAUAAACCCUAGAAAAAGGCUGCUGUCACUUCUGACACAUGGAGAACCAAAGUAAAUGUAUCCUACUGCAUCAAAAUCAUCACUGUUUUCAUUACUAUACCAUUCCCUCUAUAAUUCUUAUUAUUUUAUUGUUUUCAAAAUGUUUGUAUAAUUUCACUUUUCUUGUUUUUUAUACCAGAAAUAUACCAAUGAGUUUGUGCAAUCUGCAAACCACCUUGUUACUCGUGCUGUAGCUAGUCAUCACUUCCUUCUUAUACUAAAAUUCUUCUUUAUAUUUAUAUAUAUAUAAUCACAUUCAUAUGCAAAACGUCCAAAAGAGUGUGUCAUUACGCUUCACUUUCUACUUCUUUUCACAUUUUUGAAAGGGUUUAGAGGGGAAUCAUAUAGCUUUCGCUUUCUCUUUUACAAAUAUAUAUAUAUGUAUAUCUAUGUAUGUAUAUGUUACCGAUAACUUUACAUGGAGUCUCAUGCAGUGGAAGAAUUCAUAGCUAGCUUGUAAGUUAAAUCACACUUGACAGACAAAAAUAUAUACAUAAUGAAAAAUGAAUAAGAAAAGGUUGAAAUCCACUUUACGCGAGGUUUAAGAUAUGAUAAUAAUAUUAUGUAAGUUACCACUUAACUGAGCUUUUAAUUAAUAAUUAAGUUUUGGAUAUACAAUGAUAUUAAAUAUUUAAAGAUAAAGUUUUAUGGUCAAUCUUCAACAAGAUUGAUGACAGUAACUUGAUUUAAUUUGAAAUUCUGCAUUUAUCUGAUCUCAUGCACAUCCAUUAACAUAUUUUCAUUGUUGGAGAUUCACUAUUAGAUUAGAGAUUAGGAUAUUUUAUAGUGUAUAAGUGAGAGUGUAAACUUCAUUUUAUAAACCGGUUUUAUGAGAUUGAAUUAGGUUUAAAAAAGUUCAUUUCUUAAUAUGGUAUCAGAGUCAUUUCGAGUCAUUUCUAACGGUCAUCUACUAUCGGACUGUUAUCGGACCACCAAUAAUAUAUAGUCUCCUGCACGAGUUGGUAGUUUAGGCAUAAGAGGUGUAUUGGAUACUACAUCGACUAGAGAUUAUGACCAUUUUAAGUGGGUUGCAAACCUGAUCUUAUAAUACACAUGAUCAGGGUUAUGUAUCAUAAGGUGCACUAAGUCUCCCACGAAUCUUUUACUGGUGCUGAUGUCUUCCCAGUAGAAAAGAAAACUUACUUUAGGAGAUGAAAUUCAAGAAGAUCUUUUAGUUUUUCAUGGGUCCCCUUAAACUGACCAACGAUCUCUUCUUUGAACUCUAACACUGUGUAACAUGCUAUGCUUACGACUAUGACAGCAUGUGUGUGUAAAACUAUUCACUUUUAAUUUAAAAACCAUUUUGGAAGUUUCAUUGCUUCUGAAGGAAUCUUAUGGACAAAUUUGUGUCUGUUAUGGAGAACGAGGGAGCCGAAGUUCAAAUCUCUUGAUUGAAAUAUUUUGAGUUUUGAUUUUGAAUAGAACAACACAAUCAAGCUACAUUUAUUGGUGCCAUUCUUUUAAUUUUUUAGAAAAGAGAGUGAUACUAGGAGACAGACACCUCUUUAUUACUUUAUUCUGCGUUAGAUUCGAUCUUUUUUCCUGCAGUGUUACAGAGAAAAGAUGAACUAAUCCCAUCUGAGAGAGAAAGAGAGAGAGAGUAACGUGCAUGUUAAUGCUAUCUUUUCUUUCAUGGGACAUGCAUGAUAAAGCUAAAAUGAAGAUGAAGAGGGGGCAACUUCAUUGUAGCUUCUGAAUGGAAUAAAGAGAGAAUAAGAAGACAAGAAUAAACUUUUUAGAUGCUUUUAUUUCUGUGCUCUUUUUAAAUGACUACGUAUCAUUUCACAACUCCUAGUUUCUCUAAGCAUUGGGCUUUGUCUGUGUUACAAAAAGAAAGAUCUUUCUAAUCAUACAUAUACAUGCAUAUCAUUUAUAAAUCACACUACACAAUGUACAAGAACUGUUCCUCAUGAUCCAUGUACUAUGGAUUAAGUAAUUAGAUUAGAUUGUUAUUUUUUGGUAUGUUUUCGAUUAAAAACAAGGAAUUAGUAGUAUGUUGAGUUGGUGUUUCUUUGUUUAGUUUGUAAAAAGUUGUUAUUGUUGUUGUUAGGACUCUUAUAUAGACUUUCACCAGUUCGAUGUAUAAAGGUUGAAACACUCCUAAAAUAGUUAAUAUUUUAAUUAGGUUUUUGUGCAUGUUGUAAGAUAAAUUGAAAGUGAUUAAACAAGAAUAGAAGGAAAAGAGAAAUGGUGGGUUGGUGAUGUGAAACUAUCAAGAGGAAGUGUCUCUUUCCACAUGGCAUUUAAAAUUUAAAGGAGACCUAAAAGGUGAUAUUGAGUUCUUUCACUUUAGGGAAGAUUUUGGAUGCUUUUGGAGAGAAGAGAGGAUAUAUAUGGAGAUAUGAGAAGAGAAGGGUUAAUUAGGGUUAAUUUGUUGGUGUGGCAGAGAUUUGGUCCCAUAAAGAACUCACACAUGCUUCUGCAAAGAGGAAUAUAACAACAUAACAUGCAUGUUAUCCAACUUUUCUGGAUUCUUCCACAUGGGCCCAGCUUUGGGCCUACUUCAAUUUUCAAGGCCCUACCACUUUGGUUUUUUUUUAUUUCACACCUUCAUUUCCCUCCAACUAUUUUCUAUUUUUGGAAGUUAUUUUAAGACGAAUGUAUAUAUAAAUGGGUUAAAUAUAUUAUGGACAUGUACUUUCAGGUGAAAUUGGUUUUCGUUUCAAGUUCAAACUUUAGACCUUCUAGGUAUUUGUAAUAAGAAAAUUAUUAGAACGAGUUAUUGUCAAAAAAAAUUUUACGUGACACACAGAUUUUCAGUGUGGACUACGAUGUUAUAAUAUUUCAUUUUAACUUAUCGUUGACAUAGAUGUUAGAAUAUUAUAUAAUACAGUACACAACGAAAAUUCGUUUUGUUAUGUAAAAAUGACUCAUUUCAGUAGUUUCCUUACUACUAUGAGUAUUCAAAAGAUCUAAAGUUUAGAUUGAAAACAAAAAUUAAUUUCACGAUAUAAUAAAAGGAUGAAAAAACAUAUUUAAUUUUAUGUAGAUCACAUAACUAUCUCAUAAUAAAAAGAUAAUUGAUGAAAAAACAUAUUUAAUCUUAUAUAGAUCACAUAACUAAAAUUAUGAAAAUGCCCCUACGAGGUAAAGAAAAUGUUAUGUGAAAUGACGAAAAUAACUUUAAAUGAAAGAGGAUGUGGAUAAAAAAUAAUUUCUGAAUUUCUUUUUCGGAAUAAAUUUUCAGAACAUAUUUAUGAAUUUUGGAAAUUCUUUUCCAUAUGCAUUUCCAGAUUUUGUAUUCCAGAUUUUGUGUUUCAGAAUUAUUUUUUUUUCAGAAUGCAUUUUUUGCAUUUUGGAUUUCUUUUUGUGGAAUGGGAUUUUGAUUUUUGAAUUCUGAAUUUUUAAAUCCAGAAUAAAGGGUGAUUUUGGAAAAUUUGAAAAUGAUAGGGUAUAGAUUCAAAUUGAUAUGGUGUAGGAAGAAUUUGCAUUGUUUUUGCUAUGAGCAUGGCCUACCUAGGCCUGUCUCUAUACAAGCCCACUCUGAUAGCCUUUCUGGAACAGAUCAUAGAAUUUUAGGAUACAAGAUGGACCAGAAAAGCCCAAAGCCAACAAAAAUUAUAGCAGUGUAUUAAAGAAAAGGCUAUGCAAAAAAAGAUAAAAUAGAUUUUUAAUCUCAUUACUUUGUGGUCUUUUUUUUUCUUAAUCUCUGCCCAUUAUUUUAUAGUUUUAGUCUCUUAAUUUCAAAGUUAACAUUUUAAUAUCCAUUUAUGUUAACUAAUGAUGUGUCCAACAAUUAUUUUUUUUUUCUUCUAAAAACUUGAUGAAAGUCGUUUUCAAUUUUCCGUCCUACAAAGUCAUCCUAUCGUUAUCGACAAACUGUUAAAAAUGUAUGUUAAUCAUCACUAUGAAAUUUGUCAUCUUAAUUAGUUGUACCUCAAAAUCCACUAAUCAUUUAACAUCACAUGAAACAUAACAUAAAACAAAAAAUAAAUGAACAUAAAAAAAUACUAAACCAAAAUUCAUAUAAGAAGAAGGAACAUGUUCUAAACACGAAAUAAAGAAAAUUGAUAUCUGGUGUUAAAAAAAAAACACAGAAUAAAGAAAAUUGAUAUAUGUCAUAAAAUAAAAUACACAAUGAGGCAUAAUAGACUCCAAAAAAAGUCUACCUUCUUAUCAACAAUUAUCCUACUCACUACUAUCUUGUGAUAUUUUUUCCAUAUGACCAAUUUCAGCCCAUGUAGUUCCUAGGAUUAUAUCCAAUGAGACCAAGAUCACAUGAUUUCAUUUAGUAAAAGAAAAUAUUUGAUGCAGCAUUUUGUGUGACCAAGUCCUAAUCCAACUAAGGUACACAUGCAGGACAGCAAUAUGUUGAUGAUGAGAAUAGAUGGAGAAGUAAAAGCAAAGGAACAUAGCAUUUAUGCAGCAACAACCCAAAGGAUUGAAGAUGGGACCUAAAUCAAACCCAUGUUGCAAUAAUUACACGUGACCACACCACACCUAACUGCUAACUAUUCACUUGAUAUUGCUGAGAGCACAUGCAAGUAGCUAUUAAUUUAAAGUGUUUGACUAAAUUCAAGCCAUCACCAAAGAAUGUAGCAGAUACUCUCAUUCAUUUCCCUAAUAUCAUUAUGCCUUCCCCAUUGCAUUUGGCAAUAAAUAACUUCUGGGAUUUCACAAAGUUUUGGUUUCACAUAGCUUUACAAUUUUGGAAUCACAUAAUGCUUAGUUUGAGUAAGACCUGUCAUAUUACUCAACCAUAGAUUCUGUGUGUCACUUUCUCAGUUCUCAGAUUAUUGUAUAACAAAGAGUUUUAUGAAUAAAUGAUGUUCUAGGCUUCAAGAAUUGUCUUUCUUUUUAUAUUUUAAAAACAAUCAUUUUAAUUCUUAUAUUUCUAAAGUAUGAUACUUUAGAUCUUAACUAUAUUUGAUCAAGUUAGGGACAAGAUCAAUCACACUUUAUGUCACAGUGCCCACGUGAAACCAAAUGAAGCACUGUGACCAUGUGAAUCACUAGAAUAAAUUAGAGUAAAUUCGAAAUAAGAGAGACUGACAUGACUUUCUCUCUACAUCUCUUUAUUUUGAGAAGAGAGGAUAUUUACGGUUGACAGGUAUAUCUUCUAUUUCUCUUCCUCACAACCCUGGAUUCAAAUAACUGAUAUUCUCUCACUUCUUUGACUAUGAACAGUACAUCCACAAAAGCAAACAGGCUUGGAUGACAAAUUUAUGUUCAUGUGUUGGACUUCUUAACUCUCUCCAUUUGAAUUUGUGAAUAUCACUAUGGCAUCAUAAAGUAUACUUAAUUCAUUGAGUUUCUCUGGUGUUGCAGAAGAGAUGAACAAGAGGAAUCUUUCCCUUUAUUUGUUUUGUAAUUGGAACGAAUGUUCUUGACCAGCCAUAGAAGUUGGAAGCUAGCUGCUUUUGUCUAGUAAUCAGAAUAGCGUGCGAUACCUUUCUCUCCCCUCAGUUUUCAAACCAGACUUCCUCAGGCUAAUGAUUGGUUGCUGGAACAUGUUUUUUCAUCAUUUACAAAAGUUAGGAAGGGAACUCAACACUGAAUGUCACUAACUUUUGUUGAACUUUAGAAAUUGCCAUUCAAUAGUAUAAAUUUGGGAGCACUACUCACAAAAUCAAUUCAAAAACAAAAAAUUCCUCCACUGUCGGGAAACUUUUUGUACCCUGUAUGCCUCAUGAUAUUCAAUGCCCCCUUUUGCUCAUACCCUUUUGAUUAUUUUAUUUUUUCUCCAAGAUUUAGAGUUUCUCAGUUGGGAAGUGUUUAAUUUGGCAAUUUAUAAUAGACUAAUUUGUCAUCAUGACAAGUGGAGAACUAGAAAAGUAAAGGGUUUCUUGCUGCAAUGUGUAUUUUUUGCUGCUUCUUUUGCCACCCUUUAUCCUCUUAUUCACAAAAAUGAAUUGAAGUGGGAGUAGCAAUAACGAGCUAUUCAUUGGGAAUAGUUUGAUUAGGGAAAAAAACAAGGCUAUUCUAAAAAUAAAUGAAAUUUAAUUAGAGUUUUUAAGAACUUCUUAUAAAGCACUGCAGCAGGCACGGAUAUUUGGUAGAUAGUAGCUACCAACUGGCAACCAUUCAUCACAAAUUAAAUUCUCUCUACCAGCCCCUCAGUUAAAAGUACCUUGUAUUUUUCAUCCUUUUGUUUUUCUUCUUAUUGCUUGGUACAAAAUGAGAUCCACAGAAUCAAAUAUCUUAAAUGUUUUAGAGUUUCCAAAAGGACGAAAGAGUGUCAACAAAGUUAUAUGCUCUAAUGCUCAUACACAGCCAUGCCGGGUACACAUCAACUUGGCCCUUGUGCUUUCUGGAGAUAAUCACAACUGGCAAACACCUUUUCAUUUUCACUAAUGUCGUUUACAAUAGCCAAAAUCUUGUUUAGAUGCUAUGUGUAUCAUGUGUUUUCAUGUGAAUGCUCAAUAAUGAGAUCAUUUUAGUUUAACUGAUAAUUUUAAAUUCAAGUUAAUGAAACUGCUUUAAAUAUUUAAAAAGAAAAAUUUAAUCAUUGCUCUAUGGUUAACUAAUGAUCUGUUAUUGUUAUUUUCUAGUCUGUAAAUAAGAGCACAACAAUGAAAGAUCGUUUGUUUGUCUGUAGCCACUAAUAAUAAGCACCAUAAAAGUUGUGGUGAUUGGUGAUUAGUGAGACCAUGUCACCUAGCCACACUGUUCUGACACAGAAAUUUUCACUCAAAGCAAGUCAACAUCUGUACAGAAAAAGGUGUACAAAGGUAUACCUCCAACAAACGCAUUACAUAAACUAAAAAGAAAAUGGGAAAAAUGAAAGGGAGCAUAAUCAGCCCCACCACCACCAGUCCACCACUCUCUUCAAUGUAGCAACCUUAUUUGGGUUCUGGACAAGCUUAGUUAAGAAGCAUACCCUCUUGAAUUAAGCAUUUUGGUAUCUUCAGCUAAAAAUGGAGAAUAGCUGCUUUCUAGCUUUUCUCAUCCUCAUUCUACAUUCAAUUACAACAAAAGCUGCCUUCAGUGUUGGUGGUGGUGUUGGUGUUGGAGUUGGUGUUGGUGUAGGUGUUGGUGUUGGUGUUGGCAACGGAAAUGGCGGUGGCAAUGGUGGAACGGUUUGGGUCGGAGGAGGGAUUAACAGCCCAGAGCCCCCUGGAUCUUCAGUGCCAAAGCCUGAAGGAGCUUACACAGCUCUGCAAGCUUGGAAAUCUGCAAUCACUGAGGACCCUCUGAACAUUUUAGAAAGUUGGGUUGGUCCAAAUGUGUGUUCUUACAAAGGAGUCUUCUGUGCAAAUCCUCAAGAUGAAAUGGUUGCAUCAGCAUUCUCAGUUGUUGCAGGCAUAGAUCUCAACCAUGCAAAUCUGCAAGGAACUCUUGUCAAAGAGCUCUCUCUACUCAGUGAUUUGUCUCUUCUCCACCUCAACACUAACAGAUUCACGGGCACUGUUCCUGAUACAUUCAGAGACCUGGUGUUUCUGGAAGAGUUGGACCUCAGCAACAACCAACUCUCAGGUCCUUUCCCUGCUGCUACGCUGUACAUGCCAGGCCUCAUCUACUUAGACCUAAGAUUCAACUACUUCUCUGGGGCCCUCCCCGAGGAACUUUUCAGCAAGAAUCUGGAUGCAAUAUUUCUCAAUAACAACCAAUUUGAAGGUGAAAUCCCCCAAAACUUGGGUAGUUCCCCAGCCUCGGUGAUAAACCUGGCCAACAACAAGUUGAGUGGAAACAUCCCAGCAAGUUUGGGCUUCAUGGGUUCUAAAAUAAAGGAGAUUCUAUUCCUCAAUAACCAGUUAACUGGUUGCAUCCCUGAGGGAGUGGGGCUAUUCACAGAGAUGCAAGUUCUGGAUGUGAGCUUCAACUCACUUAUGGGUCAUUUGCCAGACACACUGUCAUGCUUGCAAGACAUAGAAGUUCUCAACUUGGCUCAUAACAAGCUCUCUGGGGAGUUAUCAGACGUACUCUGCUCUUUGAGAAGCCUUGCAAAUCUAACUGUUGCUUACAAUUUCUUUUCGGGGUUCAGCCAGCAAUGCUCAAGGCUUUUCUUUAGGAAUGUGGGUUUUGAUUUCUCCCUAAACUGCAUUCCUGGAAGGGACAUGCAGAGACCUCAACCUGAGUGCUCUAUGAUCCCAGGGGGUAGCCUUAGUUGUCUCAGAAUCCCCACUCCAAGGUCCCUUGUUUGUGGUUCAAUGGCUGUAAGUAAGUCUAAGCACAUUGAUCCCAUUUCCCCAUCUCCUUGAUGGUAAUUGCAUUAUCAGUUACAUUACAGAUUGGUCAUAGCUGUUCCAUUAAUUACUGCUGCCAAUCUUCAUUCACAUUCUGCUAAUUUAGUUCUUCAAAGAUUCCUUGUGCAUAUUCGUAAUUAUACAUGCCUAUAUUUUAAAGGAAAAUUAUUUGGGAUGCUUCUAAUAUCUACUCUAUCUACCUUGACCCUCAUCAUGAAAGAUGGAUAGCUUAGUUUAUGGUUCCCGUGACAUGUUUGCUUGAUUUUAGCUACUCUAUUUUGUACUGGUUUAUCACGGGUUCUCCAAUUAUUCCAUCAACAACUUCACAAUACCCUACUUCAUAGCUUCUGAACAGUUAAAUUUGACACCACUGUAAUGCACUAGGUUACAUCACAAGGUUAUAUCUAAAUUACUUGGAAAGGUGCACCUGUCCAAAUUCAACUUCAAUAAUACAAAUGGGGAGAUUGCAUGAGAUUGCCAUUGUGGCAUGCUAAUUCUUCAAGAUAUACCAAUUAUUAGACAGGUAUUAAUGCAGCAAUAAAUAUGCAUACCUCAUAGACUGCAUAUUAGAGGUGCCCUUGUUUUAACAACCUAACAAAUUUAAACCAUUUAGUGCUAUUUGGUGAAACCUGCUAAGUAAAACACAAAAUCAAGUAAUAUUAAACCUUGAUACUUCUUUUUAUCUGUUCUUUUAAUAUUUAAUGAACAGAUAUCAAAUAAGAAUGCAAUAUAUUUAAUAUCUUAAUCUAUAGAAAACGUUAUUUUUGUUUUGUUUAGUGAGACAACUAUUAUGAAGCUCUUGUUUGAAAAAGAUUUAAAAUUAUUCCUCAAAAAACACCCUGAUGUCGAUCUAGUUAGAGGUUUGAAUAAUUUGCAUGAGAUUCUAGAUUCUAGAUUCAAGCUUCAGCACCAUUGUACACUAAAAUGAAGAGAAUCAUUCCUCGGUUUUAGAUUACCAUGUUCCAACAGACAACAAACAUUAUAUUAUAUUACCAUGAAAAAUCACGGUAGGGUACAACAACUGAGCAAUCCAAUCGUGAAACAUAAUACAGAUUUCUGAGAAGACAUUGCUAUGGAAUAUAGUACAUUGGGUUUGGGAGUUUGAAAGACCGUGCAGCAACUGCAUAACCCCACAAAUCACUCCACUGAUCCCCAGAGCUCCCAUGAAUCCUGUAACCUUCGUUCUCCAACUCUUCUCUCUUCUCAGACUUGUAACUAAUGGCAGGUUUGCCUUUAUCAUAAGACUCUCUGUUUCAUUGACAAAGAAUAUCAGUUGAAACUUGUUCAAUAAAACAAGACACAUAUUUCCAAGAACCAGUAAUUUAUGUACCUUAAGAUAAGUCUCUCCCAAUUUCUGUACCCUGAAAGCAUAAGGUUUGCCUCCGUGGCAUUCCUUUGAUACUCACUCCUCCCAGUUAAGAGAAAUAUCCUGAACCCCAAUUCCUUAAGCUCGUUAUACAAAAUCAAAUUGGGUACCAAAGCUGGGGCAGCAGCCGAGUUCACCCAAGCAUCAAAGGAAGUCUCAUUGAAGAUCUCAAACCUGCAGUUCAAAGUUAGAAACAAAAGCCAUAAUCAACUCUAACAAAGAAAUUCACAUAAAGCAACUGCCAUCUAUUAAGAAAAUCACUUCUAGAUUUCAGAUUUCACUCAUUUUUUUAUUGAAAGAAAGAACACGAAGUCUUUUGGCUAAAAUUAACUUCCGACUAGGAAUAGCAACCACAUAGCAUCUAUGUUAGUUAUGACUUUCAGUUAUUCUUUACCUUUAGGCAACGUUUUCAAUUCGUGAAAAUAACAGAAUCCUUAAUGAUUACAUUACAUUUGAAGAAACCCAUCUUCAAAACAGUUCAGAUUUCCUUUUCUUAAAGGCUAGUUUCAUCGAGUGUCAUACAUCCACGACUUUUAACGCCCAUCAGAACUUACAUCCAAAACAGAUUCUCAACUAAAGAUUCCCGCUGCAAGAUAUAUGAUAAGAAAAAAUGCAUUUGAAAAAGUUUAUUUACAGUUAUUUAGACUUAAUAAGUGAAGUAGGCAUGUGCUUAAUUUUUCUUUUUUAAAUAUGAUAUGAAAACAAUUUAGGCUAUGUGUGGUUUUAAGUUUGGAUUGUUCCAAAUUCAGUUUGGAAAGAAAAAUCAACUUCGAAAAUAUUUGGUUACUGUACAUUGAGAUUUUGCCUGAAAUCUCAGUUUCAUAGAAGUAAGACUUAGGUUAAGUUAAUCUUGUAAGCUUGUUUUACAAACUUAUUUUAACCCAAACAUAGUUGUACAAAUUUUAAUCCAAAUAUAGGUAUACAAAUUUUAAUCCAAACACUCGGUUGUCAUGGAAGCUCAAGGCAGGGAAGGAAGUUAAUAGUAGAUGAGAGAUAUAAAAGAAUCCUAUGUGUAACAGCAAAUUAAUUGACAUAGUGCUAACCAAUGCCAAGGCAGGUCCAUAUGGGGGAUAUAUGUAGUGGGAUAUCUUUUCUGAUGGCUACAUGGUUGAGUAUCCCUAAAUACUCCCAUUUAUUCAUUUUUGUUUUGCUGAUUAAAAUAAAUAUACCUCAAUUUAAUAUUGUUUCAACCCGAAUUAUAAAAACAACUUACACAGAUAAUAAAAACUUAUUUAAUACAAUGAUCACCCAUCUAAACUAUUUGAUCAAAUAAUUAAGUCUCAGACCUUUUUUUAUCCAGUAAACCAUUUUCUCACUGCUAAAUGGAACAAUUUAAAUGUAAUAAAUAAAUUUAGAUAUUGUUUUGGUAAGCUAAUGCAAUUUAUAUUAUAAUUACUUUGGACAAAGCAUAAGAACUGCACUACCUAAGAAUAAAACAACUCCAGCAAGCAUAUAAGCGUAUAACAAUGGCAUUGCAUCAUACUUUGAGCUACCCAUGCAUCUUUUUCAUAUCAUUGACCCACCCAUAAGAUAAACAUCGCACUGCCCAUCCCCUUUGUCUCUUUCUUGCUUUUGGUUAAAAAGCUUCAAAGCAAAUCCAUGCAGAACUUUCAACCCAUGAGAUAAAUUUGGAUAUUAUAUGGCUGUUAAAUCCAAAUUUAUAAUUCUCAUUUUUUACGACAACGAGCUCUUAUUUUAUUUAAUACACAUGUUUAGUCUAAGAUUUCAUAAAAAUGGACAUUCUAUAGACCUUCAACGACUAAUGUUCACAUGACCGCCCAGAGAUCUGACAGGUCCAACAUUAAUUCUUUCAUACGUGUCAAUUGGACAUAUGCAUCCAUAGUGACUACAGUGGAUGCAAUUGGAGUCUAUCAAUAAACUUCAACAGCCUUUCGUACCAUUAUUUCAUAUAAAUGGUUAUUUAAAAGAGUAGGUUAGAAAAUCUACCAUAAUUACAUGUCGGUGUCGAUCGACACAUAGAAUACACGUAUCCGUGUCCAAUUCAAUAAAUAUUAGUUGGAUUUCUGAUAAUUUUAAUAAAGUUCUAACAUAAUUUUAAAAAAGAAAAACACAAUAAUUUUCUAAAAACUCAAAUUUAUUGUAUAAAUUUUUAUUAUAAUUAUAAAAAUAAGAAACAAAUCAUUUUGAACCAGUCAUGGAAAAACAUCUUUCUGCUCCAAAAAAUAAUUUAGAACAUACUUGUGCACAUAAAUCUUUAUUGUCAAUUUAUAUAAUAUAUAGAUAUGUCUUUCAGUAUCCUACAUUUUAGAGAUUAUACAGAGUGUCUGUGUCUGUGUCGUAUUAGUGUGUCUGUGUUAGAAUUUGUGCUAAAUAGAUUACUAAUAUGAGUAAAACCUGAAAGAUUUGUUUAUUAAUUUUGCAAUCAUAAUAAAAUUUUAUAUAAUAAAUUUAAAUUUAAAAAAAUAUGUAUUUCUGUCAUUAAAAUUGUAUUAAAUUCGUGUUAAAAUAUUGAAAUAUUUUUUGAAUUGAAGAUUUUGGAAUAUCUUAUCCGAUGUGUAUAUGAAACACAGACACGCUACGUGUUUGAGCCUCUUAGGUUGAACCCUAAUGAACUUGAGUACACACAUUCCAAUCAAAAUUCAAGGGCUACAAAAGCAAAAAUCUAAAACCAAUCAACAACAUCAUCGCUUACCCGAAUCCAAUGUCUUCAUAGUAAGGCACGUUGGAGAGGAGCGUCUCAUCGAUAUCGAACACCCACGCAUCUCGUCCGUCUCCGACCAAUCUCACGCUCCUCGCGAACGCCAGCGACAAAUUCCCGACCACUUCGCAGUCCCUCCGGUACCUCUCUCCGGAAAUGUACUCAGCCACGAAAUCCACGCAAUUCGCCGGCACGCGCUCCCACGGCCCCGCAUUGUUCGUCUCCACCGCCAGCCUCCAGCUGUCGCAGUAAUCGCUCGAGAUCGCCUUCUCCGACGGCAACCUGAGGAUCGGCUCCGAAAGAACGUGGCUGAGCGUUGAGAGAGCCACCAGCAGGGACAACAGACACACGCCGGAAUCCAUCGCCGGAAAACUGUUAGGCCUCAGAACGGACCCGGGCUCCGGCGACUGCUUUUCUUUUUCUUUUUUCUAUAUAUAAAAUAAAAAGGAGAAAGAAAAAAAUGGUUUUCAAAAUGAAACUGAAAAUAAUCACUCUUCGUUCGCAUCGUGUUGGGUUUUAUGGGCUUGCAAAAACCUGAUCCUGAAUAUUUGUUUUUUUUAACUUUCUAAAUUUAUAUUUUACUUUAAAAAAAAAAAAACUUAUGCAAUAAAAAAGAGAAAACAAACACAUGAACUAAAAUGACUUUUUUAUUUUUAUUUUUUUCAUCAAAAUUAAAUAAAUCGGAUUAAAAAAGAUGUGUUAAUUUAAAUUUUAAACAGUGUUGAUAUAGACAUUCUUUUUAAAGUUUUACUAAAAUAGAAACACUCGUUGCAUUCUAAAAAUAAAAAGUUGACUCUGUAUUCUUGUUCUGCCUAAAAAUAUCAUACCUUAUUUCUAUGAAUUUUUGUUGGAGCAUUAAGAAUUUUCUUCUUCUAUGGGGCUAUUUCAUAAGUUGAAGUUAAUUCUUA
rnacentral:lncRNA from 1 species